UCGGAUUGUAGUCUGNAACCCGACUACAUGAAGCUGGAAUCGCUAGUAAUCGCAGAUCAGAAUGCUGCGGUGAAUACGUUCCCGGGUCUUGUACACACCGCCCGUCACACCAUGGGAGUCGGAAAUGCCCGAAGCCAGUGACCCAACCUUAAGGAGGGAGCUGUCGAAGGUGGAGCCGAUAACUGGGGUGAAGUCGUAACAAGGUAUC
rnacentral:rRNA from 1 species